rnacentral:rRNA from 1 species
GGAUGAACGCUGGCGGUGCGCCUAAUACAUGCAAGUCGAGCGAAAAGCUAAUUUAUUAGUGGAAAGCGGCGGACGAGCGAGUAACACGUAAGAAUCUGCCCCGUACUCAGGGAUAACUGCUCGAAAGGGUAGCUAAUACCGGAUGGUCUGGUCUGGAUUUUGGUGAUUACCACCUGGUUUCUAGUAUUUGACUAGCAAAACCAAAAAGAUAAUCACCAGUAUCCAGCCCAGUAAAGAUUUAUCGGUACGGGAGGAGCUUGCGGCCUAUCAGCUUGUUGGUAAGGUAAAAGCUUACCAAGGCAAUGACGGGUAGCUGGUGUGAGAGCAUGACCAGCCGCGAUGGGACUGAGACACGGCCCAUACUCCUACGGGAGGCAGCAGUAAGGAAUCUUCCGCAAUGGGCGAAAGCCUGACGGAGCGACACCGCGUGGAGGACGACGGCCUUCGGGUUGUAAACUCCUUUUCUGAGGGAAGAAAAUCUGACGGUACCUCAGGAAUAAGCCCCGGCUAAUUACGUGCCAGCAGCCGCGGUAAUACGUAAGGGGCAAGCGUUAUCCGGAAUAAUUGGGCGUAAAGCGUCCGCAGGCGGUUCUAUAAGUCUGUCAUUAAAUACCAGCGCUUAACGUUGGUGCCGUGAUGGAAACUGUAGAACUAGAGGAUGAGAGAGGCAUAUGGAAUUGCACAAGUAGGGGUAAAAUCCGUAGAUACGUGCAGGAACACCAAAAGCGAAGGCAGUAUGCUGGAUCAUUCCUGACGCUCAGGGACGAAAGCGUGGGUAGCAAAACGGAUUAGAUACCCGUGUAGUCCACGCCGUAAACGAUGCGUGCUCGGUGUAGGUUCCCUCGACCUGGAAUCUGUGCCUAAGGUAACCCGAUAAGCACGCCGCCUGUGUAGUACGAGCGCAAGCUUAAAACACAAAGGAAUAGACGGGGACCCACACAAGCGGUGGAUCAUGAGGUUUAAUUCGUCAAUAAGCGGGUAACCUUACCCAGGCUUGACAUCCUAGUUGUACCUCUUAGAGAUAAGAGGGUCAGUUCGGCUGGACUAGUGACAGGCGCUGCAUGGUUGUCGUCAGCUCGUGCCUUGAGGUGUUCGGUUAAGUCCGUGAACGAGCGCAACCCUCAUCAUAUGUUGUACUUUCAUAUGAGACUGCCUCGCAUAACGAGGAGGAAGGUGAGGAUGACGUCAAAUCAGCAUGGCCCUUAUGCCUGGGGCUACACUCGUGAUACAAUGGUUGGUACAAACCGAAGCGAAGCAGCAAUGUGGAGCCAAUCGGAUCAAAACCAAUCUAAGUUCGGAUUGGAGUCUGCAACUCGACUCCAUGAAGUUGGAAUCGCUAGUAACCGUAUAUCAGUCACGGUACGGUGAAUAUGUUCCUGGGUCUUGCACUCACCGCC